rnacentral:sRNA from 1 species
UGAUGUCAGUUUGGUGACAGCGGCAGCGCCAUCCGACGGAUGACUGUGUCAGCUGCAUGUCCGGCAGAUGUCAAUGCUGCGGCAGGCGUGGGCGGUGCAAGGCCUGCCCAGGCCGGGCGUCCACUGCUUUGGCGCGAUGGCGCAUGCAGCUAUUGCUGCGGGAUGCGUGACCACGGCUAGGCGGCCCGAAGGUACAGCGCUUUGGCGUCGCCUGUGUGGUCGGUGGAGCGCGGACGACGCAGCGAUGCCCGCCCGGUACCGCGCGCCUAUCGGAUGCAGGGCCUUUGUUUCGGUGGUGACGUUCUGCGUCUCGGAGCCGAGGAUCCCCGCACGACACCAUGGCGACCAAGCCUGCACGCCAUCGGCAGCGACCGGAGUUGUGUUCCUUGCGCAUCGGGCGCAGCAGCGAC